rnacentral:misc_RNA from 1 species
AGAUGGAUCAUUUAUAACUUGUUUUUUGCUAUUGGUACAAAAUAUCUAAAUAAACGAAAUGAAUGCCUUUGGUUCUUUUAAACAAAUGUAAAAUGGUUUACGAUUACCUAAUUUUAAGCGAUCUAUGUCUUGGGUCCUGUAACGAUGAAGGGCGCAGCUAAAUGCGAUAUGCAGUUUGACUUGCAAACUUCAGUGAAACAUUAGAUACUUGAACGUAAAAGAUACUUUUAGAUUCACUCUAAAAGUGUGCCCACUUUAGUGCUUCAUAUAAAUGUUGUUUUACAAAAGAGUUAGCAACGUGUGAAAUUGCUGUGACAUUAAUGGCAACUUAAUGUAAAUAGUUUAAGCUUAUUGGUAUCGUGUACAAGUUUUUACUUAUUUUUUUAAAAGAAGCCUAAGUUUGAGCCAGCGUACCCGUUGAACUUAAGCAUAUUAUUAAGCGGAGGAGAAAAAACUAACCAGGAUUUCUUUAAUAACUGCGAGUGAACAGGAAUAAGCUCAAACUGAAAAGUGGCAAUUAUUUGCCAAAUUGUAGUUUCAUGAAGUGCAGCUUGUAAUUGUCCUGGGUUAAAUCUCUUGAAAAAGAGUACUAAAAAGGGUGAAAGUCCUGUUUAUGUUCAAGAAUAAUUACGUUAAGUGCACUUUCAAAAAGUCGCGUUUUUUGAGAUUAGAGCGCUAAGUCGGUGAUAAAUUUUGUCUAAAGCUAAAUAAUAAUGGGGUCCCGAUAGCGUAUAAGUACCGUGAGGGAAAGGCGAAAAGAACUUUGAAAAGAGAGUUAAAAGGAACUGAAAUCGUUAGAAAGGAAGCAAAGAAAUUUAACAGUAUAACAAUUUUUGGUAUUUACAUUAGUUCGACUUGUCGUGUUAAUGUUGACGUUAUAGUUUUGUAAUGACUCUGGAAGAAAUUAUUCUCUUUGGUUAAAGUAUUUAAAUGUUUCCUUUUGGUUACAUUUCUAUACUGCUAUUGGUUUGAUUGAUUUUGAUCACUAAUGCAGCUUUGUGGUUGCAUGAAAGUAUUCUAUGGUAUGUUGUUUUUCUUUGUCCCGUCUUGAAACACGGACCAAGGAGUCUACCUUCUGUGCGAGUGCAGUGGUGGAAAACCAGUGCGCGAAAUGAAAGUAAUAAUCGAGAAGGGUAACCGUAAUUAAAUCCCGGUUAAAAAACUGAGGUUGAGCACAGAGAGUAAAACCCGAAAGAUGGUGAACUAUGCUUGAGUAGGGUAAAGCUAGAGGAAACUCUGGUGGAAGCUCGCAGCGAUACUGACGUGCAAAUCGUUCGUCAAACUUAAGUAUAGGGGCGAAAGACUAAUCGAACUAUCUAGUAGCUGGUUUUUUC